UUGAUUGCAAAUCGUUGCCCUCAGUGCUGGCCGGCCUCGGCAAGUGCACGUUGGUGACUUUUUCAUCCAAACCCUGUGCACCUUUGGCCUCUUGCUGGCUUCGGCCGGCAGAGGAUUUUACACAAACUCGAAUGUAAUGAAAUUUAUUGUCGUGCGCAAGCACUAAUGUA
rnacentral:misc_RNA from 1 species